UCCUGACCCAGAGGCCAGUGCACCUCCAAUCGAUGACCUGGAAGAAAGUGGGACAGAAGCUGAACAAGAUAUGGAUGUUGGUGCUGGACCCUCAACCUCGGGGUUGUCACAGUCUGACGGACCAUCCACUUCUGGGCAUCACCCUGC